rnacentral:ribozyme from 17 species
UUUUUUUUUUUUUUUUUUUUUUUUGAAAAAAAAAUAAUAGUAGUAACUUUUUAUUUGACAAGGCAGUCAGUUACUCAGUAAGUAUUUACUAAUG